ACAUGGAAACACCAGUUCCCGUACGAUCACCAAAGUUAAGCAAUAUCGGCCCUGGUCAGUACCUAGAUGGGAGACACUAGGGAAUACCUAGUGCUGUAAU